AUUGAACGCUGGCGGCAGGCCUAACACAUGCAAGUCGAGCGAGCGGCGGACGGGUGAGUAAUGUCUGGGAAACUGCCUGAUGGAGGGGGAUAACUACUGGAAAAGGUAGCUAAUACCGCAUACCAUCAGAGGUGCCCAGAUGGGAUUAGCUAGUAGGUGGGGUAACGGCUCACCUGGGCGACGAUCCCUAGCUGGUCUGAGAGGAUGACCAGCCACACUGGAACCGAGACACGGCCCAGAUCCCUACGGGAGGCAGCAGGGGGGAAUAUUGCACAAUGGGGGAAAGCCGGAUGAAGCCAGGCGGGGUGUGUGAAGAAGGCCUUCGGGUUUUAAAGCACUUUCAGCGGGGAGGCGUUACCCGCAGAAGAAGCAACGGCUAACUCCGUGCCAGCAGCCGCGGUAAUUC
rnacentral:rRNA from 1 species